rnacentral:tRNA from 1 species
GGGGGUGUAGCUCAGCUGGGAGAGCACCUGCUUUGCAAGCAGGGGGUCAGGAGUUCGAGCCUCCUCACCUCCACCA